GCGAGACUGCGGGGCAGCGGCCGCCAGGGGGCGAUGGCCGCUCCCGCCGGCCCCGCCCUGCGGGCUCGGCCCCGCCACAGCGCGUCCGGGAGCGUCUCGGCCUUUCCGGUGUGAUUCCCUCCCACCCGCACCCCAACCCUCGAUACAGGCUGGUUUCAGCGCUGCGGAAACUGGAGGAUCCUUGGAGCAUAAAAGGCUAUUUGUAGCCCCUGAGUGACCACGGCAGUGCUCAGCUGCAGGGUGACCUGGUUGUGAUCCUGGUCAAGGUCUGAGCCCUGCGGGAAUUUCCAGGAGACCAAAGCAACCCCUGGCACUGUUAAUGGCUGCUCGGAACCGCAGCCCUGAGCUACGUGAGAGCUCCCAACAUCUCCCUUCUGCCAGACCAAGGGCAUCUGCUGCGCUAAUUCCCACUGUGGCUAAGGGUGGGCGAUCUGGAGGGUGAGCGAGAGCAGAAAAGAUUUUGCCAUUUAAAUAACAGGUCUUUGCGCUGUGCGGUUUCACUGCAAUCUUUUCUGGAAGGAGCUGGCACAUGGCAGGAUGUGAUGGGAGGCUCCUGUCAUUGCACUUCUCUGACUUCCAUAAAGAAAUGGAAUGACUUUACACAACUGACUAAAUCGAAGGCAGGAUCGCAACUUUACAACACAACAGAUAAAAGAAUAAGGAAAUAACUUGGGAGUAGUGUAACAGAAAAUAAUGGACAAGGGAAAACAUAAAUAGAAACUAA